rnacentral:pre_miRNA from 1 species
UGAUGAUGAUGAUGAUGAUGAUGAUGAUGAUGAUGAUGAUGAUCAUGACUAUUAUCAACAUUGUCGGUGUUACCAACAUGAAUACCAGUAGCAGCGGCAGCAGCAACAGCAGCACCAACUUCAGCAGCAACAACAACAUCAUCAUCAUCAUCAUCAUCAUCAUCAUCAUCUUCA